AUUGAACGCUGGCGGCAUGCCCUACACAUGCAAGUCGAACGGUAACAGGUCUUCGGAUGCUGACGAGUGGCGAACGGGUGAGUAAUACAUCGGAACGUGCCUAGUAGUGGGGGAUAACUACUCGAAAGAGUGGCUAAUACCGCGUGAGAUCUACGGAUGAAAGCAGGGGAUCGCAAGACCUUGUGCUACUAGAGCGGCCGAUGGCAGAUUAGGUAGUUGGUGGGAUAAAAGCUUACCAAGCCGACGAUCUGUAGCUGGUCUGAGAGGACGAUCAGCCACACUGGGACUGAGACACGGCCCAGACUCCUACGGGAGGCAGCAGUGGGGAAUUUUGGACAAUGGGCGCAAGCCUGAUCCAGCAAUGCCGCGUGCAGGAUGAAGGCCUUCGGGUUGUAAACUGCUUUUGUACGGAACGAAAAGCCCUGGGUUAAUACCCUGGGGUCAUGACGGUACCGUAAGAAUAAGCACCGGCUAACUACGUGCCAGCCGCCGCCGUAA
rnacentral:rRNA from 1 species